AUGAAUGAAGGAUGUUGGGUUGCGUACGGCGUAGAGGAUGGUGAGGAUCUGGAACUUGGAGGUGACGAGCCAGGCGGCGAGGCCGAGGUUGCGGUGGGCGCAGAGCCCCACGGCGGCGACCUGGAGGAAGCUGAAGGUGGACAUGAAGGCGUUGCAGGAGUAGACGUAGGGGUACUUCCUCGCCAGCCGGCCGUGCAGCAGGAACCAGCAGGACAGGCACACGCAGUUGCCCAGGAUCGCCACCGUGCCCAGCGUCCACCUCCUGCCGGCGCCGGGGUCGCCCGCGCCCGCCGGCGACGGCGCGGACCCGUAGUGCGGCUGGCCGGCGCUAUGGUGGUGGGCGUGGGUGAGGGGCACGCCGCGGUAGAAGGUGAGCACCAUGGCGCCCGCCAGCGACACCAGCGUGCCGGCGAGCUUGGCGCCCCCCGUGGCGGUCCCAAGCUUCAGCGACUCGGACCGCGUGGCGGCGGCGAGCAGGAAGGUGAGCACGGGGGCCACGUUGGAGAAGGCCGUGACGAAGGUGGCCGUGGUGUAGCGCAGCGCCACGAAGAUCAUGUACUGCCGCAGCGCCGCCCCCAGCGCCGCGCUGGCGAAGAGGUAGGCGAAGAUCUCCAGCGUCAUCCUCGGCCGCGCCUUGCCCUCCCGGAGGUACGCGAUGGGGCCGAGGAAGACGGCGGCCGUGAGCUGCUGCAGCGUGACGAGCACCAGCGGGUCGAGGCCGCCGUUCAUGGCCACCUUGACGAGCGACACCAUCACCGCCGCGAUCGCGUUGAGGAACACCAUCACCACCACCGGCCACGCCCCGCCGCCGCCGCUCCCUCCUCCCAUCGCUCUGCCUGCCACCACCACGCACACCAACUGGCAGAGGCGGGCGAUCGAGCCGGUGGACGGGAAGGUAUGCGGCGAGGGAGCGUGCGUGCGUGCGGGUAG
rnacentral:rRNA from 1 species